CGAACGCUAGCGGCGGGCUUAACACAUGCAAGUCGAACGCAACCUUCGGGUUGAGUGGCGAACGGGUGAGGAACACGUAGGUGACCUGCCCAGAGGUGGGGGGACAACCGAGGGAAACUUCGGCUAAUACCGCAUAUGGCCUUCGGGUCAAAGUCUUCGGACGCCUUUGGAUGGGCCUGCGUCCCCAUUAUUUAAUCCUAGUUGGUAGGGUAACGGCCUACCAAGGGUACGAUGGGUAGCUGGUCUGAGAGGACGAUCAGCCACACUGGGACUGAGACACGGCCCAGACUCC
rnacentral:rRNA from 1 species